AGACACACAUAAAGACUCCUACAAACACAUAAUUGCAUAUACCAAUACUCCUGAUGCAUUAUGAGUAUAAUCAUUGCCAGUCACUUUUUCCUCAAGGACCAUAUAGCAUUAUAAUGACCAUCAGUGUGAUGCAUUUCAAACGUUUUUGUCAAUGAGCAUAUUACUGCAUCAUAAUCUUUGUUAUGGUGUGUUAUAGCAUACUUAUAAGCCACUAUGAAGUAAUCUUUGAUUGUUUCAGGUAAAGUGAUGAAACACCUAAGGCAGACAGAUAUUAUACAGCAUAAGUUGUUGCUAUACAAUUCUAAAGUGCACAGCAAAUUGGCCAGUGUUGACUUUUCAGUGUAACAUUUCUAGUGUUGAUUCAGGACUUCAAUUGACUCAGAAAUUAACACUCAGUGGUGUAAACUCCAGUGUUGGUGUUAAAAACCAGAGUUGCUGCACCAACUGCUGUUCACGAGGUGAAACAGCUCAAGCAGCUUCUGGACUGAGAGAGAGAAAAAGGUGCCAUACGAGAUGAGACUAUAAAAAUCCUGAAAGAUUACAAAGUCUUACUCCAAGGGGAACUGUUCAAGAAGGAGUACUUCAUCCGAGAGGUCACCAGUGUGAAAAAUGAAGAAUCACUUGAAGCCACUUAGAUGUGAAGCAGUCCAAAGUGGAUAGUUCAGAUCACUCAGCUGAUGAUUCAGAUGUUCAUGACACCUCUGCCCUUUCUGACUCUUCGAUGGAUUCAACUCCCAAGAGAGGCCCAGUGAAACAGAAGAGAUCUGCUCCGAAACACUCACAUACAGUACACAAACAGAUUGUGAAAAACACAAGAAGCAUCAUUGCCAGGUACAUGUUGGCUCUUCAAGGCUUCAAAAAUGGAAACUCUAUGAGGCCCGCCUUUGAGACUGUUGGACUGGACCGGACCACGAUUGCCCGUACAGCUCCAGUUGCCGAGCUGCAUCUGGCAGCGCCAGACAUCCGUAGCCCUUUCCUGCAGUCAAAUGACCUAGUGGCCUCAUGGGUGGAAUGUUAUUCAUAUUUUUCAGAAUUUCAAAUUGAAUAA
rnacentral:lncRNA from 1 species